CAGAAAAUAGUUUAAUGUAGAAUGUCAGCUUUGGGAGCUGGUGAUGGGGGUUUGAUUCCCUCUUUUCUGA
rnacentral:tRNA from 1 species